UAUAUUUGCUGAUUGUUGUGGAAAAGAAUCAAUAGAUCUUGUAGAUAAGUGAUAACAUGCGAUCUUUCUAAUGAGAGAUAUUAUCGAGAACACCUUGAAAGAUAUUAUCAGAGAGGGAAGAAUAUCUCAGCACCAUUACUAAGAUGUAUAAAUUGGAAAAUAACUGGUCUGUGGGUCCUGAUGCCACUUGUCAGUGAUAUUGAAGUUAUUUUUCAUCUGCCAUGAUUGUAGUGUCACUAAGCAAUUUGUACAGUCUAUUUUCUGCAAAUUGAACAUGCAGAUACAUACUUGAAAACUAUUCAGUCAUGCAACAUGAGCAUAUAUAAUGCAACCAAUAUUUACUUGCUGGGCGUUAUUUGUCGCUUAUAUAGAACUUACUGUUAAAUAGUCCAAAAUCCUGAUGCCCAAAAUGUCCUUUGUUCCCAUGCCCAUUCUCUUUCACACCUUUGGCAGAUUUAUGCUCGGUCACACUUUGGGUAGAUAUAUCAGCUGCCAAUGCAUUAGGUACCUAAUGUGCACACAGAAACUAUGUUGAAGUAAAUUACCCUACAACCUUGUUUGCCUCGGCCAGAAUAUAUCUCCAAUCUGAUUCUUGAUAGCAGGGACAAAAUUGAAUCAUUUUUCAGAAUUUGUGGAAGCAUUCUUUCAUUCUGAAACCGUGGACAUGAACUCCCCUGCGAAGUCUCCCUUGAUUGGGAAUAGAUGUCUCGCAAGUAAAACAUGUUACCAGCAUGCAUUAGCGGUUUACUGAAACAUCGUGGAGCAAAAUACAUGACGCUAUCUCGUGAUUUAUCUGAAUCCUUUGGAUGUGUUGCAUGAUAUUCCUAUGACACCUCUUAAUGGAAACAUGCAAUCUUACGUUCUAUCUUUAACGAAAUUUAGUUAUUAAAUCGCAUAUCUGUUUUUGUUGGAUGGACGUUAUUCUACCAUUUUUUCUUCUUGAAACUAGGUGUCCUCUGAAUGUUCUGAAACCAAGUCGACGUUAUCGCCGGUUUCUGAUUUAAUUAAUGAAGAAAAAACUUCAGAGGAUGAUGACAAGCAAACCAUUUCAGCAGAUGAUGAUAAGCAACCAGACGUACCUCAACAUACAAAUGACGGGACAUAUGACUAUCUCCCGCAAGAUUACGCAUUGACCGAACUGGAUCUGUGUGCUCAUUUAGUAAUCGAAGACUCUUCAGAAGAAGAAAUAUUGGUGAAGAUAGAUCAAGUAUAUGUCAAACAGUGAUUUGAUUUGCCUGCUAGAUAGUGCCAAAUGGCUAAAUGAUGAUGUAAUCAGCGCGUAUAUAUAUUGUAUAAAGGAAGUGCAUGAGCAAAAUAAGAAUGAUCAUAAAGUAUAUUUUGAAAAUACCUUUUUAACCGGACUGUUGAAACGGGAUGGUGAAAUUGGAAUACAUGAAACAACCUUUAUGACAAAGAUUGUCAGAGACUAUCUCAAGCAUGACAUGAUUCAUCUUCCAAUAAACAUCACGCACACGCAUUGGUAUUUAGCUUGUGUCAAUGUUGAGAAGUCUGAGAUACAAGUACUCGACUCAUUAUGUUGGGAGCACAACCGAGUUGACCUCACUAAUACGGUUAGUUGCGUAUAACUAUUUUCUGGAAAGAAAUGUUAUAACUUGAUCUUUCCACUUGCGUGUGUUAUUUUACCCCUAAUGAUUUUACAGCUGCAAGGACCUUCUUCCUGUCGCUGCACACUUACCUUACUGGCAUGGCAUGACACGAGAAUCCUAAUGAGUACUGCUAGGAACAAAAGAAAGUUGCAUAUUUCUCUCUGCUCCGCAAUUUUUGUCUAAGCAUUCUCAUUUCCAUUUUCUAUAUUUAUGAUUUAACCUCAGUGAUGUCUAAUGAUUAGGUAGGCAGUUUUGUUUUACUGUUGUGCAUCUGACGACUGUCCUAGGUCUCCUUUUCUGCACAUAUAUUUAGGUUGGUUACAUGUCAUUCAAGCAGAUACAAGAAAAUUUGCUGGAUAAUUGUUUGACUGAAGAUGUUUCAAGCGAGAACUGAGUCAACUGAGUUCUUGUAAAGACCCUGACCUGACUGGUAGUGUUAGUUUAUAUGUAUAUUUAUGCCUUCUGUAAUCAGAAUUUUCCAGGAGCCUUCCCUGUUUCUUUCCUGGACAUGCCUUCUGGUUUAUGGUCAUGGAUGCAAACACUUUUAGAAUGGAUACAUAUUGGGCUUCUUGAUUCUGCCUUUUGAUCUGUAGUAUCCAGCAAUCAGCUAGGCGAAGGAACGUUGGCGGGCACUGGAGUUAGAAGAUGUUCGUUCCCUGCUGAGCCAAUGCAUCUCUUCUUUGGAGGUGUAUAUCUAUCAGGUGCCGGAUGUGUUCCCGGUUCUCGCCAAGUCGAGGGAGGCGCUGGCCACGAGGACCCUGCACUCGGAGCUUGUCUACAACUACUCCGGCUCCAGGCAUAUAACAGAGUCCCUGAAGGCUGAAGCGAUGUGGUAUCGCUGAUGACACAGUACAUGUACAUCCUUGCGGCACGGUUUGAUGCUUCGCAUGCAGAGGAGCUCGAUAACAGUCUUCCCAGUCAAUACCAUCAGAGGGGCCUGUUUUCUGUCUCGUCCGACAGUUCAGAGCAUUUGACGUCUCAGCCGGACGGUCGCCCUGAAUCUCAUGAUUCCUGCAAUCUAUUCUCUUUUGCCCUUUCUUCUUCCUAAUAAUCUUUUGCGGUGGAUCUGUUGCAUCAAGGAAAGUACAAUCAUCAUAUGUUCAGGCAGACAUACUUGAAUACUUCACUACUUCAA